GAGUUUGAUCCUGGCUCAGGACGAACGCUGGCGGCGUGCUUAACACAUGCAAGUCGAACGAUGAAGCCUAGCUUGCUAGGUGGAUUAGUGGCGAACGGGUGAGUAAUACGUGAGUGACCUACCUUUGACUCUGGGAUAAGCCUGGGAAACUGGGUCUAAUACCGGAUACGACCAAUCUCCGCAUGGGGUGUUGGUGGAAAGCGUUAUGGAGUGGUUUUAGAUGGGCUCACGGCCUAUCAGCUUGUUGGUGAGGUAAUGGCUUACCAAGGCGACGACGGGUAGCCGGCCUGAGAGGGUGACCGGCCACACUGGGACUGAGACACGGCCCAGACUCCUACGGGAGGCAGCAGUGGGGAAUAUUGCACAAUGGGCGCAAGCCUGAUGCAGCGACGCCGCGUGAGGGAUGACGGCCUUCGGGUUGUAAGCCUCUGUUAGCAUCGAAGAAGCGAAAGUGACGGUAGGUGCAGAGAAAGCGCCGGCUAACUACGUGCCAGCAGCCGCGGUAAUACGUAGGGCGCGAGCGUUGUCCGGAAUUAUUGGGCGUAAAGAGCUUGUAGGCGGUUGGUCGCGUCUGCUGUGAAAGGCUGGGGCUUAACCCUGGUUUUGCAGUGGGUACGGGCUAACUAGAGUGCAGUAGGGGAGACUGGAAUUCCUGGUGUAGCGGUGGAAUGCGCAGAUAUCAGGAGGAACACCGAUGGCGAAGGCAGGUCUCUGGGCUGUAACUGACGCUGAGAAGCGAAAGCAUGGGGAGCGAACAGGAUUAGAUACCCUGGUAGUCCAUGCCGUAAACGUUGGGCACUAGGUGUGGGGGACAUUCCACGUUUUCCGCGCCGUAGCUAACGCAUUAAGUGCCCCGCCUGGGGAGUACGGCCGCAAGGCUAAAACUCAAAGAAAUUGACGGGGGCCCGCACAAGCGGCGGAGCAUGCGGAUUAAUUCGAUGCAACGCGAAGAACCUUACCAAGGCUUGACAUAUACUGGACUGCGUCAGAGAUGGCGUUUCCCUCGGGGCUGGUAUACAGGUGGUGCAUGGUUGUCGUCAGCUCGUGUCGUGAGAUGUUGGGUUAAGUCCCGCAACGAGCGCAACCCUCGUUCUAUGUUGCCAGCACGUGAUGGUGGGGACUCAUAGGAGACUGCCGGGGUCAACUCGGAGGAAGGUGGGGAUGACGUCAAAUCAUCAUGCCCCUUAUGUCUUGGGCUUCACGCAUGCUACAAUGGCCGGUACAGAGGGUUGCGAUACUGUGAGGUGGAGCUAAUCCCUAAAAGCCGGUCUCAGUUCGGAUUGGGGUCUGCAACUCGACCCCAUGAAGUCGGAGUCGCUAGUAAUCGCAGAUCAGCAACGCUGCGGUGAAUACGUUCCCGGGCCUUGCACACACCGCCCGUC
rnacentral:rRNA from 1 species